UACUUCCCCCAGCAAAACGCUGUUGGGGGAUGAGUGAGGGGCAGAGAGGAGGAGUACGGUUGCGGGAAACGGAAGAGAAGGGGUCCUGGCCCCCAUCUGGCAGCCCGCGACCACUCAACGAGAAGCAAAGAUCCCACAAGCAAAGAGCAUAUAUAGAAGUGCUUGGCGUGGGGGUGAGGGGGGUGAACCUGUGGCCGUCUAGAUGUUGUCGGAUUUCUCCUCCGACCAGCUGCGACCAUUGGCCACGCUGGCUGUGGCUAAUGGGAAAUGGAAGUCCUACACCAGCUGGAGAGGGCCACAGAUUUCCCGCCCCCGAUCCGGAUUGGGGCAGAGGUCAAGGCCCCCCACACAGCAGGAUGUGCAGGAGGCUGAGCCCCCCCAAAUACAGCAGGGCUGGCUUGCCACAUUUUGAAAUAAUGCACUUUACCAGCUGAAGAGGGGCCCAGAGAGAUAAUGGAGUCCAGAGUCUUAACUAGUACCCUCCCCCCCCACACAGAUGUUUUGGACUACAACUCCCAUCAGCCCCAGCCAGUGCUUGCUGGGGCUGAUGGGAGCUGUAGUCAAAAACAUCUGGGAGGCACCAGAUUGGGAGAGCCUGGUCUAAAAAGAAUUCAGUGGAGGCUGGUCCAUUAGGGGAAAGGAGGUGCUGUCCCACCAACCUUAGUCUUGAUUCCCCCAAGCCUUCCGGACUUACAACUUACGACCUGUCCAGAGGAUAACCCUCACCAUCAGCUGCUUCUUCUUUUAGCCUCUCUGUUGCCCUAUUAGAACUCAGCAGGGUGGAGAGUGGGUCAAAUCUUGCCUUAGUUGGUGCUGCCUGUCAUGGGCUCUGGCUUUGCCUGGCAUUAGCUUUGACUCCACCUACCACUGACCUUGCUUUGUGCCCCACCAGACCCAAUGGGCGACAGCCACCACGGAAGAAGUCUUAAGUGAAAAAAUGCCUGCCUAACACUACCUGUUUUGGGUUGCCUAGAAUACAUUGUCUGAGCAAUGCUUGCAGUAAUUCUGUAAACACUAGAACUUGCAGACACCCAACGAAGCUGCCUAUUGGAAGAUUCAGGACAGAAGAAAGAAUAUACUUCUUCACACACAGUGUAUAAACUUGGAACUUGCUCCCACAGGAGAUUGUGAGGGUCACCAAAUUGGCUGACUUUUAAAAGAGGCUUAGACCAGGCCUGUCCAACUCCCAAGAGACUGCGAUCUACUCCCAGUGUAAAAAAACUGGCAGUGAUCUACCCAUUGUCAUUGAGGAUUCACCAGAAUUGUUGAGCUUUUUGGAAAGACCAGCGCUAAAGUCAAUCACCGUGCUCCAGAUUGCAAUGAGGAAACACCAAACUCCGCCCACUAGACGCAACGGAGGAACAGAGCGGGGCGGGGGGCAGAAACAUUCAUUGCGACGUUUCUCUAAGACAGCGAUUGAUAAGGAUCCUGCGAUCAACCACGUGCACCAGGGGAUCUACCUGUCGAUUGCGGUCCACCGGUUGGACAUGUCUGGCUUACACAAAUUGAUGGAGGAAAGGGCUAGCCAUGAUGGCUAUGCUUUGCCUCUGUGGUUAGUAUUCUGAAUACCAGCUACUGGAAACCGCAGGAGGGGAGAAAGGGCUCUUGUGCUCAGGUCCUGCUUGAGGUCUUUCCAUAGACAUUGGGUCAGCCACUAGAUGGGCACUGGCCUGAUCCAGCAGGUUCUUCUUAUGUUCUUCUUAUUGUGUUUGACCAGGUGGCUAUAAUCAGAAGUUUGUUGUGUCUGUGUCUGAUAUUUUCAUGUUAGAGAAAGGGGCUUCUUCCAAACUAUUGCUAUUUUGCAGGUGGGAUUCAAUUGCAUACAGACAAAUUCAGGUUGUGUAGUUGAAGUAGAUUUGGUGAUCUUUUCCAACAAACUCACUUUUAAAAAGUGGUGGUUCUUUUUUUCUGAUAAGGAAGGUGACCAAGAAAAUCGCUUGCAAAGUAUAAAAAUAGCUUGACACAAUAUUGCUUAACCUCCCUUGCAAAUAAAUCAGAAUAAAUGCUUAGAUAACAAGUGAUAUGAAAGGAAAACAAGUCAUAUGAAAGGAAUGCAGAAUUCCCCCCCCCCUUCCCCAGAGGUGUCUCCUCCACUCCCUCCAUGCUCUAGAGAGUAUAUCAUCCUGCUUUUUCAUUUUUUUUAGGAAAAAGAAUGGCACUGCUAUCGCUUCCAUUACAAGCAAACAAGACUUUUGCUUUAUUUUCCUUGAGCCCAGGGUGUGUAGGAUUAAACUGUAAAGGCUAAAAUGCAAUUGGUGCUGCAUGCUUUGAAGUGGUAGGCAGUCAGGAUAAACCUAGUCUGAUUCACUGAUAAAAAGCAAUCUUGGUUAAGGCUGAGCAGUGCGCUGAUGCAUUCUCUUAAGACUUAGUACCAAGAGGAAACUUUCAGAAGUUUGUUUAGAUUGUUUAUUUGAUUGCUUCUUUCAAAGGGCGAGCAGAGAUGGACAAGAAGCAGUGUUUGUUUUUCCAUGUCAAAUUAGCUAAAUCACUAGAAGGUAAAUCUCUCUCCUUUGGGGAAGGACAAUAGCUCAGUGGUAGAGCUAUUGUUUUAGAAAUCAUAGGAAGCUGUCUGAUACUGAGUCAGACCAUUUAACACCUCUCCAGGGUUUCAGGCAGAGGACUCUCCUAGCUCUGCCUGGAGGUGCCCGGGAUUGAACUAGGAACUGUCUGCAUGCAAAGCUACCAUUGAGCCACAGCCUUUCCCCAUACGGCUCCAAGUUCAUUCUCUGGCCCUUUCAGUUAAAAGGAUUAGGUAGCUUCCCUGCUGGAGGCUGUGGACAGACAUUGCCAGGCAGUAUUGCUUUAAUGAUUUGACAGUGGGCUGGUUCAUGCAUAACACUAAACCAUGGUUUAUUUAAGCCACAUGUUAUUUAGCAAACCACGAGUCAAACACGAGUUGUCCCACAAAUGUCCAAACAAACCAUGGCUUCUUUCUCUAAAGCUUGUCUUGUCUUCCAGCUGCUCUUGCCUUAUGACUUUGUAGUUUGGUGAGCAUCUACAGUGAGGUUCCUAAAGAAACUGUGGUUAGGAAAAGAUGCUGAGUUCAUGGAUAAUGCAAAGCUACAGUUAAAACAAAUUAGGAAUGGGAGAUAAAUUCGAUUCACUUCACAUUUAAAGGUGAAUCUACUCAAUUUGCACUUUCUAAAACAAUACACAGAUGGAAACACAGCCAUCCUUCAAAGUUCACAUCUCUCCAAAUUUUGCAAUCCAGUUAUCCAAGCAAGUAUUUUGUACCAUAAUGCAUAUGGUAUAUUAAAGUGUGUGUAAAAUGUG